GUAUUGCUUAUUUAUUAUUUUAAAAAGUUAUGAAUUGUUAUCCAAAGCGUUAUAAAUUGUAAUCGAAAAAACAACUAUUUUAUGUAUUGACAUACAUCUGUCUAUGAAAUGACUAGUAAAAUAUUAAUAUAGAAGAUCGAUAUUUUUCUACCGUCUACCAGCACGAAUAUUAAUCGCCCUAGUUGGAUUAUAUGGUUAUUUUAUACAAGAUAUAUUCCUUAGUAAAUAAGUUCGUUUUAAUAAUAUACUUUUAUAUUAAUUGUCUAUUAAUAUAAAUUUUAUGCGCACACAUGACCAUAAUAAUAACAAAUGUAAUUUAUGCUACAUAAGCUCAUAUUUCACUAUAAAAUCAUUAUGUUGCAAUAAAAAUCUCUGCUAUAAUAUUAAUCUAUGCUAUUAUUGGAUCACCUCCGAGAGAUUCAAAUCAAAUCAAGUGAUCUGUGCUAAAGACGCUCAGCUAUACUCUAGUUUAAAGUUCUUUUUACAUAUUCCUCUCGAUAAAUGACAAUAGACGUGUUCACAAAUGAAAAUCUAUCGCUGUCAUGAUGCUCGUUGAAAACGGAAAAGUAAAUUUUCCAACUCCCUCCAACUUAUGUUUCUGAGAACGCGAAAGCCAAGCAGCUUUCGUGAGAGGCUUCGUAAUAGAAUGUCGCAAAAAACAUAAAAUAUCUUUGAAUAGACACUUGGACGUACGUCGCAUAAUCCCGUCGAAUCCAAUUUUAUGCGCGAGAUCACGAGACCUGCGAGGAUUUGGAUAACGGGAGAAUCUUGAUACGAUCUAUGGGAUUGCAAAUAUUUUUUUAUUUCGAACAAUAUAAAAGCCGCUAGUGCUGCAUCCGCGUACCAGAUGGCAGGACAAACUCCGAGAAACUGGCAAAUUGAUCUGCCACGAGCUCCUAUACAGACAGUCGCUUCGCGAGCAUCCGCUAUGUCAAUUAUUCUGGAAAAAGUGCGGAUCCGCGAGAUCGUCCGCGUAUCGUUCUUUCUGCCAUCCGAUUCCAUUGCAAUCGAGGCGCGCGAUCGUCGACGUCUGCUAAUUGCGCCGAAAAUCGUCACCGCUACCGCGUCGGACGAUGUCGCCUGCCGUCGCUUCGGGAUCGACUUCGAAUAGUCUCGGUGUUAACAAAAAAAAAUCAGUGAUUUUCCCGUCGUUAGGGUUCGGAUCUCCUUCAAUGAAAAACCUGAGUCGGAAAAACUACCUCAGAAACAGACCAAUGUCUCUUCCUAAACGCCGCAUGUCGCAAAAAACAGCCGUCACGAAAGUCAAGAAAUUUUUAGAGUCAAGUGGAAAAUUGUCAAGAGUUUGAAAGAAAAACCGAUAGGCGAUCGGAAGGUAAUGAUGAUAGUUAAAGUAGUCUCCUUCCGUCGGAAUAUUUCUAAAAGAAUUUUUCCGAUUACGGUUUUUUUACAAAUUAUUUUAUGCAGUUACAACAUAUGUAACAAAUUUGUAUUUUUUUCACACUCUGUUAACUGCGUUGACUCUUAUCGGGAUUUCAUCAUCGAUUUAUGAUUUAAACAAUUAGAAUUUAAUAUUUUACGUUUAUAAGUCUAUUAUAAAAUAAUAUAUUAUAUGCAUCUAUGAAAGAGAUCAUAUUUAUCCGUAGUCUUAUUUUAAAAUUUGAAUUUUUUAGAUGUUAUGAUAAUACUGGUAGUUAACAAGAAUAAGUAAUGUACACGGAGAGAAUUUUCUCUUAAAAUUUAUUAUAAUUAAUAUUUUGCAAAAUAAUUAUACGCGUGUUAUUUUUUGUCUCUCAAAUAAAUGUUUCAGCUAAAAAAUGUAAAAGAUUAUUCUCUAAAUAUAGAAAAUAAUCACAAUCUGUUAAAUGUCGUAUAUUUUAAUUAAUAAUUCGAUAUAUUCAGUGAAAUAUUCGUUGAAUACGAGUGCGACCUCCCCUCCCCCAAUAAUUGUGAAUGGGGAUUCGGUUUUCUAAUCGACUGUUUUGUAUGCGAAAAAGAACACCAUCGCGUUGCUCUCGAAGAGAAAAAAAGAGGGCUGGUAUCGUAAGACCUAUGGAAGUAACUGUAAACGCAUGGCAUUAUAGCAAUAAACUUGUAUUUGUUGAA